UACGUAGGGGGCAAGCGUUGUCCGGAAUCAUUGGGCGUAAAGCGCGUGUAGGCGGUUACGUAAGUCUGCUGUGAAAGUCGGAGGCUCAACCUUCGAAAGCCGGUGGAUACUGCGUGACUAGAGUACGGAAGAGGAGAGUGGAAUUCCUGGUGUAGCGGUGAAAUGCGCAGAUAUCAGGAGGAACACCGGUGGCGAAGGCGGCUCACUGGAUCGGUACUGACGCUGAGGUGCGAAAGCGUGGGGAGCAAACAGG
rnacentral:rRNA from 1 species